UUGGGUAAGAAUCAGCAGGAAUGUCAUCAACAAUGCAGAUUCUUGGGCCACACCCUUGCCAAUUGGAUUCUGGAAUUCAAUCCAACUGGGUCCGGGAAUCUGCAUCUUGGACCAGAAUAAGAGGAAACUGUGGAUUCUGAGAGGGAAGGGGAGAGAGAGAUAGAAAGAGAGAGAGCUACCCACAGCUCUCUCUUCCACCUGGAAAGAGGCACCAGGCCCUUUGGGACAUAGGAGCUCCACACGGAUGCUUAUGCUAUUCCCACUGCUAUGAGGAUUACCUUCUCACCUGCUAAGAUUCCACUUGGGGCCAUCUGCUCCCAAAGUCACCUCUGGCGCCUCCCAGUCUGACCUAGACACCCUGCCCUGCAAUGAUGGUGACUUCUUACCCUGAGCUGUGCAUUCCUAUGCAUUCCUACACGGUGCUGUUGAAAUCCUGUUGUCGUGCCUGCCUUCCCAAGGGAACCCCUGGCUCUUUCACUGAGCCACACCAAACACUUGGGCUCCAGAGCAGCCACAGCUGCCAGGGAAAAUCCACUAUGGGACUUUCCUGUGGGGCCAUUGAUGAGCCAGAACCAUUGGCCUGAACUUGACUCCAGCAGAGCACACGAGGACAACAGUCUCCAGGACUUGGCCUCCCUCACUCUAGCCCUGCGGGGUCACUAGGCAAAACAGUUUCCAAUUAUACGGAGUAGCCUCUGAGGACAUGAAGCCUCCCAUGAAGAUGGACAGGACACAUCUCUGGGGUUAUGUGGGGUCAAGCCCAAUGUCAUCUUCAUGCUUUGAAGCUCAUGGUGGGGCUCCUUGCUCAUCUUCCUGUCCUCCUGGGGCUGCCACCCACCCACUUCCUCCACCGCCCAGGCUAGGUGGGUAGUGCAGCUCUGGUUAAGGAAGCUUGGAGGUGCCAGCAGGGAACAGACUAAAUUGUGCAGGCAGUUUGCAUUAAUUAGAAUAACUUACCCAGACACCACUCUGGCUUCUAAGGAAAAUAAUGUAAACAUUCAAAACAUACUUAGGACACAGCCUAGGGUUUUUUUGCCAGGAGCAGGGAAGGAAGUUUAUGGGGUCUUCAGAUGUCUGAGAUUCUUACAGGGAUUUCUGGUCAUAGGCCUAGGUCCACUUUGCCCUUCCUUUCUAGGGGGGCACCAGAGCUCUCCACAUCUUUUGUUUUGUUUUUUUGGUGGGAGAAGGGUACCAGAGAUUUAACUCAAGGGCACUUAACCACUGAGCCACAU